UACGUAGGGCGCAAGCGUUGUCCGGAAUUAUUGGGCGUAAAGGGGUCGUAGGCGGCCAACUAAGUCAGACGUGAAAUCCCUCAGCUUAACUGGGGAACUGCGUCUGAUACUGGAUGGCUUGGAUUCGGGAGAGGGAUGCGGAAUUCCAGGUGUAGCGGUGAAAUGCGUAGAUAUCUGGAGGAACACCGGUGGCGAAGGCGGCAUUCUGGACCGACAUUGACGCUGAGGAGCGAAAGCCAGGUGAGCAAACGGG
rnacentral:rRNA from 1 species